AUUGAACGCUAGCGGGAUGCCUUACACAUACAAGUCGAACAGCAGCACGGACUUCGGUCUGGUGGCGAGUGGCGAACGGGUGAGUAAUGUAUCGGAACGUGCCCAGUAGCGGGGGAUAACUACGCGAAAGCGUAGCUAAUACCGCAUACGCCCUACGGGGGAAAGCAGGGGAUCGCAAGACCUUGCACUAUUGGAGCGGCCGAUAUCGGAUUAGCUAGUUGGUGGGGUAACGGCUCACCAAGGCGACGAUCCGUAGCUGGUUUGAGAGGACGACCAGCCACACUGGGACUGAGACACGGCCCAGACUCCUACGGGAGGCAGCAGUGGGGAAUUUUGGACAAUGGGGGAAACCCUGAUCCAGCCAUCCCGCGUGUGCGAUGAAGGCCUUCGGGUUGUAAAGCACUUUUGGCAGGAAAGAAACGUCAUGGGUUAAUACCCCGUAAACUGACGGUACCUGCAGAAUAAGCCGGU
rnacentral:rRNA from 1 species